CUACCUUUUACAGAGGGAUAGCCCAGAGAAAUUUGGAUUAAUACCUCAUAGUAUAGCUCUGCCGCAUGGUAGUACUAUUAAAGUCACAACGGUAAAAGAUGAGCAUGCGUCCCAUUAGCUGGUUGGUAAGGUAACGGCUUACCAAGGCUACGAUGGGUAGGGGUCCUGAGAGGGAGAUCCCCCACACUGGUACUGAGACACGGACCAGACUCCUACGGGAGGCAGCAGUGAGGAAUAUUGGACAAUGGGCGCAAGCCUGAUCCAGCCAUGCCGCGUGCAGGAUGACGGUCCUAUGGAUUGUAAACUGCUUUUAUACGAGAAGAAACACUGCUUCGUGAAGCAGCUUGACGGUAUCGUAAGAAUAAGGAUCGGCUAACUCCGUGCCAGCAGCCGCGGUAAUACGGAGGAUCCAAGCGUUAUCCGGAAUCAUUGGGUUUAAAGGGUCCGUAGGCGGUUUAAUAAGUCAGUGGUGAAAGCCCAUCGCUCAACGGUGGAACGGCCAUUGAUACUGUUAAACUUGAAUUAUU
rnacentral:rRNA from 1 species